GCGCAGCAGUCGCGAAACUUCACACUGUGCGAAAGCACGAUGAGGGAAUCCCAAGUGCUUGCACGUAAGUGUAAGCUGUUUCUCUGUCUAAAACGCAGAGAGAGUAAGGGCUGGGUAAGACGGGUGCCAGCCUCCGCGGUAAUACCUGCAGCUCAAGUGGUGACCGUUAUUAUUGGGCCUAAAACGUCCGUAGCCGGUUUAAUAAAUGCCUGGGUAAAUUGUGUAGCUUAACUAUACGAAUUCCGGGUAGACUGUUAAACUUGAGACCGGGAGAAGUUAGAGGUACUCCUGGGGUAGAGGUGAAAUUCUGUAAUCCUAGGGGACCACCAGUGGCGAAGGCGUCUAACUAGAACGGGUCUGACGGUGAGGGACGAAGCCCUGGGGCGCAAACGGGAUUAGAUA
rnacentral:rRNA from 1 species